rnacentral:rRNA from 1 species
AAGGUUGGGUAACACUAACUGGAGGACCGAACCGACUAAUGUUGAAAAAUUAGCGGAUGACUUGUGGCUGGGGGUGAAAGGCCAAUCAAACCGGGAGAUAGCUGGUUCUCCCCGAAAGCUAUUUAGGUAGCGCCUCGUGAAUUCAUCUCCGGGGGUAGAGCACUGUUUCGGCAAGGGGGUCAUCCCGACUUACCAACCCGAUGCAAACUGCGAAUACCGGAGAAUGUUAUCACGGGAGACACACGGCGGGUGCUAACGUCCGUCGUGAAGAGGGAAACAACCCAGACCGCCAGCUAAGGUCCCAAAGUCAUGGUUAAGUGGGAAACGAUGUGGGAAGGCCCAGACAGCCAGGAUGUUGGCUUAGAAGCAGCCAUCAUUUAAAGAAAGCGUAAUAGCUCACUGGUCGAGUCGGCCUGCGCGGAAGAUGUAACGGGGCUAAACCAUGCACCGAAGCUGCGGCAGCGACGCUGAUGCGUUGUUGGGUAGGGGAGCGUUCUGUAAGCCUGUGAAGGUGUGCUGUGAGGCAUGCUGGAGGUAUCAGAAGUGCGAAUGCUGACAUAAGUAACGAUAAAGCGGGUGAAAAGCCCGCUCGCCGGAAGACCAAGGGUUCCUGUCCAACGUUAAUCGGGGCAGGGUGAGUCGACCCCUAAGGCGAGGCCGAAAGGCGUAGUCGAUGGGAAACAGGUUAAUAUUCCUGUACUUGGUGUUACUGCGAAGGGGGGACGGAGAAGGCUAUGUUGGCCGGGCGACGGUUGUCCCGGUUUAAGCGUGUAGGCUGGUUUUCCAGGCAAAUCCGGAAAACUAAGGCUGAGGCGUGAUGACGAGGCACUACGGUGCUGAAGCAACAAAUGCCCUGCUUCCAGGAAAAGCCUCUAAGCAUCAGGUAACAUCAAAUCGUACCCCAAACCGACACAGGUGGUCAGGUAGAGAAUACCAAGGCGCUUGAGAGAACUCGGGUGAAGGAACUAGGCAAAAUGGUGCCGUAACUUCGGGAGAAGGCACGCUGAUAUGUAGGUGAAGUCCCUCGCGGAUGGAGCUGAAAUCAGUCGAAGAUACCAGCUGGCUGCAACUGUUUAUUAAAAACACAGCACUGUGCAAACACGAAAGUGGACGUAUACGGUGUGACGCCUGCCCGGUGCCGGAAGGUUAAUUGAUGGGGUCAGCGCAAGCGAAGCUCUUGAUCGAAGCCCCGGUAAACGGCGGCCGUAACUAUAACGGUCCUAAGGUAGCGAAAUUCCUUGUCGGGUAAGUUCCGACCUGCACGAAUGGCGUAAUGAUGGCCAGGCUGUCUCCACCCGAGACUCAGUGAAAUUGAACUCGCUGUGAAGAUGCAGUGUACCCGCGGCAAGACGGAAAGACCCCGUGAACCUUUACUAUAGCUUGACACUGAACAUUGAGCCUUGAUGUGUAGGAUAGGUGGGAGGCUUUGAAGUGUGGACGCCAGUCUGCAUGGAGCCGACCUUGAAAUACCACCCUUUAAUGUUUGAUGUUCUAACGUUGACCCGUAAUCCGGGUUGCGGACAGUGUCUGGUGGGUAGUUUGACUGGGGCGGUCUCCUCCUAAAGAGUAACGGAGGAGCACGAAGGUUGGCUAAUCCUGGUCGGACAUCAGGAGGUUAGUGCAAUGGCAUAAGCCAGCUUGACUGCGAGCGUGACGGCGCGAGCAGGUGCGAAAGCAGGUCAUAGUGAUCCGGUGGUUCUGAAUGGAAGGGCCAUCGCUCAACGGAUAAAAGGUACUCCGGGGAUAACAGGCUGAUACCGCCCAAGAGUUCAUAUCGACGGCGGUGUUUGGCACCUCGAUGUCGGCUCAUCACAUCCUGGGGCUGAAGUAGGUCCCAAGGGUAUGGCUGUUCGCCAUUUAAAGUGGUACGCGAGCUGGGUUUAGAACGUCGUGAGACAGUUCGGUCCCUAUCUGCCGUGGGCGCUGGAGAACUGAGGGGGGCUGCUCCUAGUACGAGAGGACCGGAGUGGACGCAUCACUGGUGUUCGGGUUGUCAUGCCAAUGGCACUGCCCGGUAGCUAAAUGCGGAAGAGAUAAGUGCUGAAAGCAUCUAAGCACGAAACUUGCCCCGAGAUGAGUUCUCCCUGACUCCUUGAGAGUCCUGAAGGAACGUUGAAG